GGUUUGUGGCUCAGUGGUAGAGUGCUUGCCUAGCAUGUGUGAGGCACUGGGUUCAAUCCUCAGCACCA
rnacentral:tRNA from 1 species